rnacentral:rRNA from 1 species
AAAUUGAAGAGUUUGAUCAUGGCUCAGAUUGAACGCUGGCGGCAGGCCUAACACAUGCAAGUCGAGCGGAAACGAGUUAUCUGAACCUUCGGGGAACGAUAACGGCGUCGAGCGGCGGACGGGUGAGUAAUGCCUAGGAAAUUGCCCUGAUGUGGGGGAUAACCAUUGGAAACGAUGGCUAAUACCGCAUGAUGCCUACGGGCCAAAGAGGGGGACCUUCGGGCCUCUCGCGUCAGGAUAUGCCUAGGUGGGAUUAGCUAGUUGGUGAGGUAAGGGCUCACCAAGGCGACGAUCCCUAGCUGGUCUGAGAGGAUGAUCAGCCACACUGGAACUGAGACACGGUCCAGACUCCUACGGGAGGCAGCAGUGGGGAAUAUUGCACAAUGGGCGCAAGCCUGAUGCAGCCAUGCCGCGUGUGUGAAGAAGGCCUUCGGGUUGUAAAGCACUUUCAGUCGU